AUGGCCGCCAUAGGCCGACAAUAAAAAGACGUUUAUGACAAAAAGUAAUUAAAUAAUAGUUAAAAUUGUUAUCAAAACAUAAACAAAGUUAUAUUAGUGGGAAAACUAUAACAUUUAUCAAUCAUCUAACUUUAUAGUUAUAGAACAUAUUACUGCCAUAACAUAAAUACGUAAAGAAUUAUCAAAUUACUGUUGGCAAGAUGAUAAGGUUACCAAGUAAAAUAUUAAUCCGCAGAUAUGUAUCAACAAGCGUACCUAGAAAAGCUCAGAAAAGUGAUGAGAAUGAUAGAAAAAGCGAAUUUAUUGUUAGUUUUGAAAAGCAUCACAUAGAACUGACACCUUUACAGCGUUUAGUUCUCACGGGGGGUUCAGCUAUUGUUUCACUUGUCGAUCCAUUCCGAGGAGAUAUGAUUGCAUGUCUUGGAGAAACAACAGGAAACCGAGCAUUGGAAUAUUGUUACGAACGAAUGCAGUCAUCAGCAGAAGGACGGAGAAUUCUUGCUGAACAACCACGAAUUAAUACAUCAACUCUUGAUAUACAGAAAUUAGAGCAAAUGCCUGAAGGAUGUCUUGGGAAAAUUUAUUACGAUUUUUUAAAAGCCAAUGAUGUUAGCCCAGACUCCAGGGACCAUGUAAAAUUUGUCGAUAAUGUUGAACUGGCCUAUGUUAUGCAGCGAUAUCGUGAAGUACAUGAUAUUUUCCAUGCUGUCCUGUUGAUGCCGACGACGAUGCUUGGUGAGGUAGCUGUAAAGUGGGUCGAAGCUUUUCAAACCAGGUUGCCUAUGUGUAUUGGAGCUGCACUAUUUGGUGCUGCACGUUUGCGUUCAAAACAGAGAAAAUUAUAUUACGAAUAUCAUUUACCUUGGGCUAUAAAUAUUGGAAAAAAUUCUGGCUUUUUACUGAGUAUAUACUUUGAAGAACGUUGGGAGCAACCGCUUGAUGACUUUCACAAAGAAAUGAAGAUUCAACGACUCGUGUAAUCAUAGUUGAAAAACACUUGUAUUUAGUAAAAAAACAUAGCUGAAGAUGGAGAAAAUAAUUUUCACAAACAAUAGAUGAAGAUAAACCUAGUUGAGCAUAAGUUAGUGGCCAGAGCAUCCCUCGACGGGUGGAUAAUUGUAGAAAGAGGUGAAUGCUUCAUAGCUGAUUGUGUCAAGUUAUUUUGGUCCUGCUACAUGCCAAAGCAACUUAAUUGAUUUACCUGGCAUUCUGAGGGCCAACAGAUUUGGUUUCAUAACUAGAAGACGCAGAAAUGGCAUCAUCGGGAAUUUUUCCCUCUUCCAUACCCAAAGGGAGGACACAUUGGGCUGAAAAAUAUAAUAAAUUAGUAAUUCAUCAGAUAGAACUAGGAUGAGGUAGUGAGGAAAGUGAACACAUCGGGUAUUCACCAGAGGGAACAUAGAAGAGGUAUGCGGGGUGCAAGAGGAGAGAAUGAAACAAUCGCACAGAAGGUAACGCUGGUUGGGUUGGUGUGGCGAUGUUUAAUAAU